rnacentral:rRNA from 1 species
GUACACGCUGUGACUAGCAUAUCAAUAAGCGGAGGAAAAGAGGGCUAUUACCUACGCUUAGGAUGUUGACAGCAGUAUAGACUGUACACGCUGUGACUAGCAUAUCAAUAAGCGGAGGAAAAGAAACUAACAAGGAUUCCCCUAGUAACGGCGAGUGAAGCGGGAAGAGCUCAAAUUUGAAAUCUUAAAGGGUUUCCCUUUACGAAUUGUAGUUUAAAGAAGUGUUUUCUGUUGAGGUUUUGGUAAAAGUUCUUUGGAAUAGGACAUCAUAGAGGGUGAGAAUUCCGUAUUUGACCUUUACUUUCAACUUUGUGAUACACUUUCAAAGAGUCGGAUUGUUUGGGAAUGCAGUCCAAAAUGGGUGGUAAAUUUCAUCUAAAGCUAAAUAUUGGCGAGAGACCGAUAGCGAACAAGUACCGUGAGGGAAAGAUGAAAAGAACUUUGAAAAGAGAGUUAAACAGUACGUGAAAUUGUCAAAAGGGAAGCGUUUGACACCAGUGUUGUUUUUCUGAAAAUCAAUUAAAGAACUGUUUAUGCUAAGUUGUUUAGACUUUAUCAGCUAACUGUUUAGUUUUGAGCUUUUCUUUAAUGCACUUUUCAGUUAACAAGUCAACAUCAAUUUCUUUUGCUGUAAAAAAGCUUGAGGAAGGUGGCUUGAGAUUCGUCUUAAGUGUUUAUAGUCUCUUGCCUAUGCAGUCGGAGAGAUUGAGGUCUGCAGCGUAGAUCCUUCGGGGCUAAAUGCAUUUGUGCUAAGUUAUAGCAUUUCAUAGACAACUUGUUGACUAUGAUUUGUCUUGUAGCUUACUCGCUUAUGUUAUUUUACCUACGCUUAGGAUGUUGACAGCAGUAUAGACUGU